UGUGCCACAGAGCAAGAUUCUGUCUCAAAAAAAAAAAAAAAAAAAAGAGAGAGAGAGAGAGAGAUAGCAAACAGCUGUUUUGCUCUGUCUCUGUCCUAUGUGAGGACAGAGUGAGACGGGCAGGCUACCAUCUACAAGCCACAGAGAGAGCCCUCAUCAGGAACUGAAUUGGCCAGCAGCUUGACCUUAGACUUCCAACCUGCCAGAACUGUAAGAACACAAAUUCCUCUCGUUUCAACUACCCAGUCUCUGGAAUUUUGUUAUGGUAGCCCGAGAAGACAACUGAGACACUUACACCCAACAUGUGGAAAUAUUUUGAACUUUAAAAUAAUGAAAAACUUACUGUUCUUGGCAGUGAACAGAAAUUUGACUUUUUGGCAUACUUUGGAGUCACUAUGUAAGAUUGGUUGUUCCAAAACAGAAGAAAGAAUCAAAUAAAAACAUUAAGAAAAUAAAGUAGAAGAUCCAGUUUUCAAAUCGAGGUGAACUUUUUUCCAAAGUCUGCACUCUUAUUUAUGGAUAUAGUGUAGACAUCCUGGAUCAGAACUUACAGACUGGAUGACAUUUAUCAGUAAGUCUCUGAUCUGCUUAUACUAAAUACAUUAACUGAAUUGGGUGCCAUGUUGGUUAUUUUCAAGAAAUGCAACAGGAGACCAUAAAGAGUGAAUAAUGUCAAUUAAAGAGUAUAUUGCCUAAAGCUUCCUUUGACCACUAAGUGUGUGCCAAAUGUUCAUUACAGAUAUUCUGUUUUGCAAUGAUAGCAUUUCUCAUCCAUAUUACAGCAGGAUAUUUGUAUUUUUGUCUCAUCCACAUCUUCAGACACUAAUCCGGCAAUAGGAAUGAGUGUCGCACAGUGCAAGGCACGUAAUAAGCAAAAGACGGAGAAGAUGUGAUUUUUUUUAAUGAGGAGGAAAAAAGACUUCAAGAAAGAUUAUUACUUGAUGAAGUGCACAGAAACAUCUUGCUUCAAAUACUGAUGCAGAUAUCUUUUAAGAAAAAGAGAGAAGAAAUUGGUCA